UCCUUCUUAUCGAAGGCAGUUUUCGAAGAGUGCAUCCCUUGCGGGAUUAGCAACAUCGAAUAGGGGUUGCGCUCGUUGCGGGACUUAACCCAGCAUCUCACGACACGAGCUGACGACAACCAUGCAGCACCUCUGCUGGCUCCCUUGCGGGUCAGCCACUGUUUCCAACGGCUUACCACCAGUAGUUCAAGCCCAGGUAAGGUUCUUCGCGUUGCGUCGAAUUAAACCACAUGCUCCACCGCUUGUGCAGGCCCCCGUCAAUUUCUUUGAGUUUUAACCUUGCGGCCGUACUCCCCAGGCGGAUGACUUAAUGCGUUAGCUGCGCCACCGAAAGCCCAUGGCCCCCGACAGCUAGUCAUCAUCGUUUACGGCGUGGACUAC
rnacentral:misc_RNA from 1 species